GAGGAGAGGAAAAUUUGGUAUGUUGUCGCAGACCCGAUGCAUUGCGCCUCCAUUACAAAUCCUAAAUUCUACUUUUGAUCUAGAGCUCCUACCUACUGGACUUGCUCGGCGUCACGGCCGACGAGGACGUCUACAUCUCCCUCCUCAUGGACUCCGCCGACACUGUCGAGGUCGCCGCCGUGCACACCCACAUCGUCGCCACAGGUGUUGCGCCUGGUCUCCCUCCGCCGUUGCUCGCCUACGUGAGGUGUUCGACGGAAAAUUCCCUUCAACGACGGCAUCACGUGGGCGACCAUGGUGUCUGCAUCCCGCCAGUUAGCGCCCUCCAUAUGCCUGGGUAUGUUGGAUUUGAGGCACUUGGCUUGGAUCUUCCCGAGAGCAGAACACGUACGUACAGCUGCAAGCUAAGCAAGCUGCUGAUUGAUUUUACGCGUAGACGUUGGUCUGAACCUUCUGGCCGGCUACAUAAGCAAGCACUCAGGCAGCUGGAUGGAUUCCGGGCACACAGCUUGCCGUGAACCUUAAAUUGCUGCUCCAACAGGCAGCAAACCAAUCAUUUGAUAUUUAAGGGACAGCAGUCAGCAGGCGCUUUGAGGAAGCACUGGUGUUGACAAAUAAAAGAAUGCUUUAGGUAUACCUAUUUACCAUUUUCAAUUGGUUUGAUGCCAUCCAUAUGUGAUUCACCGACCAAGAAUGGAAAAAUUCCUUGCUAUUAGAAAUUUCUAUGGUGGUGCUUCUUUAGGUUCUGCCUGAAAAAUGUUCCAGUGCCAAUAAUCGGUUAUACUUUGUAAUGGUGAUUCGUAAUUUGGUCUAACUUUCUAAUUAUUAGCUACAGUUUACUUCAGUGGUAAUGCAUGUACGCAAAGGAAGAAUUACUGGCUAUGGAUGAUUACUAUGAGCGUAUGAAAUUAUGAGUUGUGUAGGUUUCUUAAGCUAGAUCGGUUGUUCUAGCUUGUGAUGGUUAAAUUUUUUAUGAAAUAGCAGUACUAGAUUAGUUGUUCUAGCUUCUUUAGGUUGUAACCAAUUGAAGGUAAUUUGAAGAUCGAUCCCACAGCUGAGUAUAUUCCGUUUUUUAUUAACCCGCAACAGAGUGUGUAUAGGAAAAUAUACUUUUGUGAAUUGUUAGUGCUCGCUGUCCUUACUGUACUGUAUCAGGCUGUUCAUGUUCAAAUUCUUCAGCGUUUUGUACACAUGAAAGGUACUUCUGUAAAUCAGUUUUUCAAAUUGGCAUCGAUAAGAUGCAUAUAGAUGCAUGUAUCCUUCUAAAAAAUUAACACCAAUGUUUCACUUGUUUUGUGAGAUUGUUCCUUUUUCUUUUGGACAGCUUUUGGAGAUUUUAAGAUAGCUUUUUCUGUGGGCAAGCUGGACCUGAUACUCAAAGGACCUUAAGUUCUAACCAAAGAUGACAAUGUGGAUGGUCACAUUUCAAAGUGUUUUUUCUUUCUCAGACACAUGUAAG